rnacentral:misc_RNA from 1 species
UCUCCGUAGGUGAACCUGCGGAGGGAUCAUUACUGAGUGAGGGCUCACGCACGACCUCCAAACCUUUGUGGACACAUCUUGUUGCUUCGGGGGCGACUCUGCCGGCACUCGGUCGCCGGGCGCCCCCGAAGGUCUCCAAACACUGCAUCUUUGCGUCGGAGUUUAAAACAAAUUAAACAAAACUUUCAACAACGGAUCUCUUGGUUCUGGCAUCGAUGAAGAACGCAGC